CCGGAUUUACUGGGCGUAAAGGGCGCGUAGGCGGCCGCGUGUGUCGCGUGUGAAAUCCCCGGGCUCAACCCGGGAAGUGCGCGCGAAACUGCGUGGCUCGAGCGGAGGAGGGGAGAGCGGAAUUCAUGGUGUAGCGGUGAAAUGCGUUGAUAUCAUGAGGAACACCGGUGGCGAAGGCGGCUCUCUGGAAUCCUGCUGACGCUGAGGCGCGAAAGCCGGGGGAGCAAACAGGAUUAGAUACCCUGGUAGUCCCGGCCCUAAACGGUGCACACUGGGCGUGGGUGGUAUUCACCCCCCCCGUGCCGGAGCUAACGUGUUAAGUGUGCCGCCUGGGGAGUACGGCCGCAAGGCUAAAACUCAAAGAAAUUGACGGGGGCCCGCACAAGCGGAGGAGCAUGUGGCUUAAUUCGAUGCAACGCGAAGAACCUUACCCGGGUUUGACAUGUGACUGCACGUCCCGUGAAAGCGGGAUUCCUUCGAGGGUGUCACACAGGUGCUGCAUGGCUGUCGUCAGUUCGUGCCGUGAGGUGUUUGGUUAAGUCCAGCAACGAACGCAACCCCUGUGACCAGUUGCCAGCGCGUAAAGGCGGGAACUCUGGUCAGACUGCCUGUUUACACAGGAGGAAGGUGGGGACGACGUCAAGUCAGUAUGGCCCUUACAUCCGGGGCUGCACACGUGCUACAAUGGCCGGUACAAAGGGACGCGAGACCGCGAGGUGGAGCAAACCCCCAGAGCCGGCCCCAGUUCAGAUUGCGGUCUGCAACCCGACCGCAUGAAGCCGGAUUCGCUAGUAACGGCGCAUCAGC
rnacentral:rRNA from 1 species